rnacentral:rRNA from 1 species
AUUGAACGCUGGCGGCAGGCUUAACACAUGCAAGUCGAGCGGGGUGAUGGUGCUUGCACUAUCACUUAGCGGCGGACGGGUGAGUAAUGCUUAGGAAUCUGCCUAUUAGUGGGGGACAACAUCUCGAAAGGGAUGCUAAUACCGCAUACGUCCUACGGGAGAAAGCAGGGGAUCACUUGUGACCUUGCGCUAAUAGAUGAGCCUAAGUCGGAUUAGCUAGUUGGUGGGGUGAAGGCCUACCAAGGCGACGAUCUGUAGCGGGUCUGAGAGGAUGAUACGCCACACUGGGACUGAGACACGGCCCUGACUCCUAUGGGAGGCAGCAGUGGGGAAUAUUGGACAAUGGGGGGAACCCUGAUCCAGCCAUGCCGGGUGUGUGAAGAAGGCCUUAUGGUUGUAAAGCACUUUAAGCGAGGAGGAGGCUCUUUUGGUUAAUACCCAAGAUGAGUGGACGUUACUCGCAGAAUAAGCACCGGCUAACUCUGUGCCAGCAGCCGCGGUAA